GACGAACGCUGGCGGCGUGCUUAACACAUGCAAGUCGAACGGAAAGGCCCUGCUUUUGUGGGGUGCUCGAGUGGCGAACGGGUGAGUAACACGUGAGUAACCUGCCCUUGACUUUGGGAUAACUUCAGGAAACUGGGGCUAAUACCGGAUAGGAGCUCCUGCUGCAUGGUGGGGGUUGGAAAGUUUCGGCGGUUGGGGAUGGACUCGCGGCUUAUCAGCUUGUUGGUGGGGUAGUGGCUUACCAAGGCUUUGACGGGUAGCCGGCCUGAGAGGGUGACCGGCCACAUUGGGACUGAGAUACGGCCCAGACUCAUACGGGAGGCAGGAGUGGGGAAUAUUGCACAAUGGGCGGAAGCCGGAUGCAGCAACGCCGCGUGCGGGAGGACGGCCUUCGGGUUGUAAACCGCUUUCGCCUGUGACGAAGCGUGAGUGACGGUAAUGGGGAAAGAAGCACCGGCUAACUACGU
rnacentral:rRNA from 1 species